rnacentral:rRNA from 1 species
ACCCACGACAAAUCUUACCACUUCUUGCAUAUUCUAGUUCAGAGUUCAUGUGAAGAUAAUUUUAUUUAUAAAUACUUAUAUUAGUAUUAUGAAUGGAUUUUAAAUUCCCUUAACUACACUUGAAUACAGGUGUUGCAUGGCUGUCUUUAGUUCGUGUUGUGAAAUGUUAGGUUCAUUCCGUGAACGAACGUAAUCCUUAUCUUUAAUUACAAUGACAUUCAGAAUGAAUAAAAUUCAAUUGGAAUUUAUUGGAAUUCAAUGGAAUUCCGAAUGAAUAUUUAAUAAAACUCAUUCUGGAUUAUUGAAACGCUUUAAUUCUUUCAGUUCAAGAAUGAAGCAUUCAUAUUAACUCCAUUAAAGAAGUAUCUUUUGAUAAGAAAGAAUAAUUAGGCCGAAGACAAGUCCUCAUGACCCUUAUGGAGUGGGCUACAGACGUGCCACAAAGAUUUCUACAAAGGGAAGCAAAGAUGGAAGUCCGAGCAAAUCCUCAAAAGAA